UAGCAUUCAUGUUAAUCCACACAUUUGUU
rnacentral:piRNA from 1 species